rnacentral:lncRNA from 1 species
UUUAGGCUUGGCUAAUUUUCUUUCUCUGGGUUUCAGAGUGAGUGGGUUAAGGAGCCUUUUUCACCUUCGUUAGAAUUAAAUUAAAAAACCUAAAAAUGCACAUCAGCUCUAACCUGCUUCGGUGAGUGAAGGUGCUUCUUUGUUUUUUCAUUUCUUAAUUUCACAAGUAUCUAAAAACAAUAUCCACACCAAUACUAAGAUCCAAUAUCUUUUUUGCAUAAAUCCAAUUUUUGUUAGUGGUAUUAUAAAGCAUGGAUCUUGUCUUCUCUUUGAAUCAGAGCCAAAAUAAAUUGGCACAAAAUCAGAACCAAACCCAAAUCUGAGAAAU